AUCAACAACUCUAAAUAAGAUCAUGUCCAUUGAUAUUGUUCUCAUUUCAGAAACAGUACUUGUCAUCCUGACUCCUCAUUCUACUGAAUCAACCGCUCCUCUCGUCACAACCUCUGAGAUCUCUACAGGAAACACCACUGACCCCACACAGACUCCAAUAGGGAAAGAGCCACUUGAUUUCCUGUGGCGUCACAUCCUCACUGUAUUGGUCCUACUGGCUACUUGUGGAGUACUUAUAUCCUAUGUCAUCUCCCAUCAAUGCCCUAAAGCUGUUCCAAAGAGAAGCAGGAGGGUGGACCAGAGCAAUGAAGACUUUUCGUUGACAGUGUGCUAAAUCACUGUGCAUACCUACAAACAUACAGGCACACGCGCACGCCACACACACAAUUCUAUUUUUACAUUAAAAAAAAACGUUUUACGCUUUAUA